GAGUCAUUUGCGGUCCACAACUCGAUCUCUAACCUGUGUAUUUCCAGUAAAGCUCACAGUCUUGUUAGGUAUUGCUGUAGUACAGGAUUGUCUUCUACAGGUUUACCGCCGCCAUGUUAUCAUCGGAAGAAUUGAGUUUUAGAUCGUUUGUCAUAUUGUCAUGUCCAGCGUCUGCACAGCAAUGGGUGACAACGUGUAGUACAUGCCGUCAUACAGCUAAUAUGUGCGGUUCACGUUUCGACGACGAACGACCCAUGUGGCAUUUAUUGUUGAAAAACCUCUUUUUCGACUUUUUGGUGUUGGUCUACAGGGUGAGCUGAAGUCCACUUUCUGCUAUGCCACAGCACCAUGAAUGCAACUAUCGACUCGAGACAGUAGCGUGGGCAUGUUGUUUCUCCCUCCUGUCUUGUUCACCGGUUUGUUUGUAGAGAGGUGAAGCAUAGCGUAGGUCUUGCGAUCCGUUCGAUUUCUCGUCAUGUAUUUUUGGGUGCACCCGAUCCCCCCUGUGCGCGAC
rnacentral:lncRNA from 1 species